CAGCAAUGAAAACAUCCAACAACUAGAAGGGUUUGCAAACACGCCAAGACUUCGACACCACCCCCAAGUCAUACUUUCGUGAUUGAUUUGCACAAUGGGCAAGUUCAAGGAUUUCAUCUUGAAGCACCUUGGCAAGAGCAACGAGGCGAAAGCUCUUUACCAGUUCCUGCAGGAGAACGAACUCAACGACUUCGAGAGCUUGUCUCUUUUGGAAUCCGCUAAUCUCCCACAGGACAGUCCUCUCAAACUUAGAUUGAAACUUAUGCUUCUUAAAGAGUUCAUCUAUCUUGAUGGAGAUUACAGGUCUUCGCCAUCGCUCACGGAUAUUCGUAAGCAAGUGGCCAGUGCGCAGUUGAAAAAGUGUCUGAUUUCUGAACUCGGGAAUGAUCUGAAUGAUCACGACAAAGAGGUCCUGAACGCGAUGAAAAAGCAAUUUGCUGCGCAGCUCAAUCCCUACGAAACGAUUAGCGAGUCCCACUUCUCGCAACAAGAUUCGGAAGAUACUCGAAAUAAGUCGAUCACUUACUAUGGCUUGCAAUCGGAGAAGCACUGUCAAGUUCUUGGCCCGAAUCAACCCGAACAAGUCAAGAUUGUAAACGCACACAUUUGGCAUCGUUGUGCAACUGCUCAAAUUGUCGUCUUAGAUUUGGAAAAGAGGCAAAUUCACGAGCCCAGAAAUGUUCUCCGACUGCACCAGUGUCUUGAACGUGCGUUUGACAAGAGAGAAAUAACAUUUGUUCAAGGCGAUUCGCCGAACGAAUUCAACCUGAAGCUUCUCAACGAGGGCCUAAGGGAUACCAAGCUCAAGGGCACGAAUGUCACGUUUGGAGAUGUGGAAGGACGUUCGUUGCAAAUACAAAAAGAGGGAAGUCUGCCGUUUAGACGACUCAUAGGUCAUCAUGCUCUUCUUAGUCAUCGUUAUGCGAAAGAACAGGGCUGGAUUGAAUCAAC
rnacentral:rRNA from 1 species